rnacentral:rRNA from 1 species
UACAGAGGUCCCGAGCGUUGUUCGGAUUCACUGGGCGUAAAGGGUGCGCAGGUGGUUUGGCAAGUUUGAUGUGAAAGCCCCGGGCUUAACCCGGGAAUGGCAUUGAAUACUGCUUGAACUGGAGGGUUGGAGGGGGGACUGGAAUUCUUGGUGUAGCAGUGAAGUGCGUAGAUAUCAAGAGGAACACCAGUGGCGAAGGCGAGUCCCUGGACAAACCCUGACACUGAGGCACGAAAGCCAAGGGAGCAAACAGG